UGGGGAAUUUUGCACAAUGGAGGAAACUCUGAUGCAGCGACGCCGCGUGCGUGAUGAAGAUCUUCGGAUUGUAAAACUCUGUCCUUAGUGAAGAUAAUGACAGUAACUAAGAAGCAAGCCCUGGCUAAAUACGUGCCAGCAGCCGCGGUAAUACGUAUGGGGCAAGAGGUGUCCGGAAUUAUUGGGCGUAAAGGGUACGUAGGCGGUUUAAUAAGUCCUAAUUAAAAGGCUAGGGCUCAACCAUAGUAUGGUUAGGAAACUGUUGAAAUUGAGUAGAUGAGGGGAAAGUGGAAAUCAAUGUGUAGAGGUGAAAUGCGUAGAUAUAUGGAGGAACAACAAUGGCGAAGGCAACUUUCUGGAAUCAAACUGACGCUGAGGUACGAAGGCGUGGGGAGCAAACAGG
rnacentral:rRNA from 1 species